GGAAUCAGUUGGUGCAUUGCGUUUAAAAAAAUGAUGAUUUCGGUGCAGAAUAUUUGUUGAUUUGGAUGUAAAAUCCCAAAAUGUCGGAGUCUGAAGAAACACUAACUCUCCAGGAUCGCCUGGACCGUCUGCAGGAGCUUACGGAAUUCACGGAAAGAUGCAAAAAGCAGAUAAACGACAUCUUUGAGACGCUGGGAUGGUCGCCGGACGACAAGGAGCCCAACCAGGAACCAAUGGAGCAGUGCCCCUAUGACCCUGGCCACAGAGUCCCGGUCAGGACCAUGGAGAAACACAAGGCCUCCUGCAAGCUCCGAAAGAUGGGCUACUCAGCUGAGGAGCAGGCCGAGAUGUUCGACCCCUCUGUGUGCUAUGAGAACAGCAGCGUGAGAAGCUUUGUAAUGGACAAAUCCACCCAGCACCAGGUGAUCCUGAAGGCGAGAUCGGCUGCACCCAUGAUGAGAAUGGAAGGAGUCUUCUGGCAAGGUCAGUACUCCGGUCAGCCCGUCGACGUACCUCAGAACCACAAGCGAGCCAUUUGUGACCUCACUGUUGCCGACCGAUUGGCUCUGUACGAUCACGUGAUCAGCGUCAAUCAACAGAAGGAAGCGGCCGCCUCCAGCAACGAGGAUCUCUAUGUAGAUUUGGUGUCCAAACUUCAGAAGGAUGAAGAACAAAACGAACCAAAGACUCACCUGGAGCUGAUGGCAGAGAUGAGAGACUACAAGAGACGGCGUCAGUCCUACCGAGCCAAGAAUGUUCACAUCACUAAGAAAUCCUACACUGAGGUGAUCAGAGAGGUGAUCAACGUCCACUCAGAGGAACUUGCCAGACAGUGGAAAGAGGAAGAGGAAGAGGAAGAGCCAACGAGAUCCGAACACUCCUCACACAAGCGUUCGGUGGAAGAAAGACGGUCAGCAUCCUCAGAGUCUCACCACUCCCGCAACAGACGCCAUCGUAGUCGGGAACGAAGCCGCGACAGAGAAGGCAAGAAGAAGAAGAAGAAGAGAGAGAGGGAUUCCCGUUCCCCCGAUAGCCACCACCACGACCGAAAGAAAAAGAAAAAGAAGAAAGAGGAGCGGGAGAAGGAGAAGUGAGAGCUCUGGAUCAGCAACAACAGAAGUCAGAUCAGAUGAGGUCGAUGUUCAUCGUGGCCUUCCAAGGACGACAGGUUUCAUGACGUUUCAAGUUUACAUGCUGAGUUUAAAAUGAACUUAAGGAAGAUAUAAAUGGGUUUUACAGUGAAACUACGCAUCUCCUAAUCUUGAGUGGGCCACACCUGCCUCUGCCUGAUUGGCUUGAAAUGAUUUUUUUUCUACUUGACGAUUAUUUGGAAUGUUGGACAAGAGUGUCAUAACUGGCACAGCUUCACCACGGGGUCAGAGGUCACCUUUUUUUGGACUUAAUUUUGCUCCGUGUUUGUGAACGUUUGCACAAAUCCCCUGCAGUUCUUGAGAAAAUCCCCAAAAAGUGGGUUUUGAGGAUCUGAAAUUGUUUCAGAAAAAUUAGAUUUUUCAUUGUGUAAUCAUUUUGAGGAAGUAAAGAAUUCUCAAAGUGUGUAUUUUAAAGCUACAUAAAACAGUUCACACUUACAGCAAGUUAAAAACGAAACCACCAAAAGCUAGUUUUGCAAUUUGUGUAACUCCAAACUAAAAACUAUAGAAAGUCACAAGAUUUGUAGCCCCUAAAUGUGUGUAUUUUGGGAUGAGCGCUGAGAAAUAUUCAUCAAAGUAAGUGUUUAGGUAAUGGAGUCUUAAUUGGAGUUCUGAAUUGCAAAUUUUCUGCAUAUGACUCGUGUUUUUAGUGUAAAGAUUUCAGAGAUUUCUCAGUUUAUGUGGCAGAUUUCUUUGACUUAAUUUCAUGAUACAUGCACCAGAAUAAACAAAAUCUUAUUUCCA